rnacentral:rRNA from 1 species
UACAGAGGGGGCAAGCGUUAUUCGGAAUUAUUGGGCGUAAAGGGCGCGUAGGCGGCUUGGCAAGUGGAAGGUGAAAUCCCUCGGCUUAACCGAGGAACUGCCCUCCAAACUGCUUUGCUUGAGGCCGGGAGAGGUGAGUGGAAUUCCCAGUGUAGCGGUGAAAUGCGUAGAUAUUGGGAGGAACACCAGUGGCGAAGGCGGCUUACUGGACCGGUUCUGACGCUGAGGCGCGAAAGCGUGGGGAGCAAACGGG